rnacentral:rRNA from 1 species
GACAGAGGGGGCAAGCGUUGUCCGGAUUGACUGGGCGUACAGCGCGCGCAGGCGGCUGUGGACGUGCCCUGUGACAGGCGGAGGCUCAACCUCCGACGGCCAGGGUAGACGCCACGACUAGAGGCAGGGAGAGGGCAGUGGAAUACCCGGUGGAGCGGUGAAAUGCGUAGAGAUCGGGUGGAACACCAGGGGCGAAGGCGGCGAUCUGGGUCGAUACUGACGCUGAGGUGCGAAAGCGUGGGGGAGCAAACAGG